rnacentral:rRNA from 1 species
AUGGAGGCAAAUAAAAUAUACGAGCUAGGAAAAGGAUUGACUUACGCAGAAUUCCCUACAAAGUUUGUAUGGAAAAGCGAAACAAAAUGUUGGCAGAAGCGAAAAAGGGACUAUGCAAUUGGAAGAAUCUACUAUGCACAUCCCGCAAGUGGCGAGAGAUAUCAUAUGAGGAUGCUUCUAAACACCAAGAAAGGAUGCACAUCAUUUAAGGACAUUAGGACCGUUGAUGGAGUCAUUCACCCAACAUACAAAUCAGCAUGCCAAGCCCUCGGAUUUCUUGAUGAUGACACCGAGUGGAUUGACUGUAUCAAUGAAGCAUCAAGUUGGGCAUCUGAAACACAACUACGUCAGUUAUUCACCACCAUAUUGUCCCAUUGCGAAGUCACAAACCCAAAAGUAUUGUGGGAUUCAACAUGGGAGGCGUUGUGUGAAGAUAUGCAAUAUAAAAGAAGGACUAUUCUAAACUUUCCAACACUUCGGCUUACAAACACACAGAAGAAAGCGUAUGGUCUGAUUGAGAUAGAAAAACUGAUGAGGCAAGUAGAAAAGUCACUAAAGGACUAUCCAGACAUAGAACUACCAAAUGCCGCAGAGCUAGAAGAACUUGGGAACAGACUAAUAAACGAAGAGGUCAACUACGACAUGGACAAACUCAAGGAUGAGCACAAAAUCAUACUAAACAAUCUUAACCAAGACCAGAAAAAGGCCUAUGAUGCAAUAAUGGAGUCAGUCGACAAAGGCCUAGGAAAGCAGAUAUUUGUCGAAGGCUACGGUGGCACAGGAAAAACCUAUCUAUGGAAAGCAAUAACGACAAAGCUAAGAUCAGAGGGGAAGAUAGUACUUGCAGUAGCAUCAUGUGGCAUUGCAGCGUUGCUUCUCCAAGGUGGAAGAACAGCACACUCAAGGUUCCGUAUUCCACUUAAUAUCACUGAAGAAUCAACAUGUGAAAUAAAACAAGGCUCGCAUUUGGCUGAACUGCUAAAGAAGACCUCACUUAUAUUGUGGGACGAGGCUCCUAUGGCAAACAAACACUGCUUUGAGGCACUAGACAAAAUCCUUAGAGAUAUUCUAAGGUUCACUAAUGAAAACAGCGAUGAAAAGCCAUUUGGUGGAAUGACAGUUAUACUAGGAGGCGACUUCAGACAAAUCCUGCCAGUUAUAACCAAAGGAAGGAGAGAGCAGAUAGUAAAUGCUUCAAUCAAAAGGUCAUAUCUGUGGAAACACUUUGAAAUAUUUGAGUUAACACAGAACAUGCGGCUGAAGUGUUUGUCAGAUGAUCCAAUACAAAAGCAAAAGGUCGCUGAAUUUGCAGAGUGGAUACUACAGAUUGGCGAUGGGAAAACAACAUCAGAUGAAGGAGAGGAUUGGAUAAAAAUACCAAAAGACCUACUGCUAGAGAAAGGAGAAAAUCGUAAGGAACAAAUCGUCAAAAGCAUAUACCCAAAUUUGCUGCAAAAUUACCGUGAGCGGGAUUACCUAGAAGAAAGAGCAAUACUAUGUCCAAGAAAUGAUACAGUCAAGGAGAUAAAUGACCACAUAAUGAGCCAAAUACAAGGUGAAGAGGUGACAUACCUAAGCCUGGACACAGUGUGCAAGGCAACGACAAAUACCAACAUCAUGAUGAACAUGCAACCUACUGAGUUCCUCAACACCUUAACGUCCCCAGGAAUACCAGACCAUAAGUUAAAACUGAAGGUGGGUUUGCCGGUCAUGCUACUACGCAACAUCAACCAAGCAGCAGGUUUAUGCAACGGUACAAGAAUGACAAUUACACAACUUGGAAACAAAUACAUCGAGACACAAAUAAUCACAGGAACACAUGUCGGUGAUAAGGUAUACAUACCUCGAAUCAUCAUGUCACCAAGCGACUCAAAAUGGCCAUUCGUGCUGAAAAUAAGGCAAUAUCCAUUAUCAGUGUGCUUUGCAAUGACAAUAAACAAGAGCCAAGGUCAGUCCUUAAACAAGGUAGGCAUAUAUUUGCCUAAGCAAGUAUUCUGCCAUGGACAACUAUAUGUGGCACUAUCAAGAGUGACAAACAAGGAAGGAUUGAAGGUGCUGAUCGAUGACGAAGAGUGUCCAACCGAAGAUGUCGCAAAGAAUAUUGUUUACAAAGAGAUUUUUUAA